AUUACCGAGUGAGGGCCCUCUGGGUCCAACCUCCCACCCGUGUUUAUCGUACCUUGUUUGCUUCGGCGGGCCCGCCUCACGGCCGCCGGGGGGCAUCUGCCCCCGGGCCCGCGCCCGCCGAAGACACACAAACGAACUCUUGUCUGAAGAUUGCAGUCUGAGUACUUGACUAAAUCAGUUAAAACUUUCAACAACGGAUCUCUUGGUUCCGGCAUCGAUGAAGAACGCAGCGAAAUGCGAUAAGUAAUGUGAAUUGCAGAAUUCAGUGAAUCAUCGAGUCUUUGAACGCACAUUGCGCCCCCUGGUAUUCCGGGGGGCAUGCCUGUCCGAGCGUCAUUGCUGCCCUCAAGCACGGCUUGUGUGUUGGGCUCUCGCCCCCCGCUUCCGGGGGGCGGGCCCGAAAGGCAGCGGCGGCACCGCGUCCGGUCCUCGAGCGUAUGGGGCUUCGUCACCCGCUCUGUAGGCCCGGCCGGCGCCCGCCGGCGAACACCAUCAAUCUUAACCAGGUUGACCUCGGAUCAGGUAGGGAUACCCGCUGAACUUAAGCAUAUCAAUAAGCCGGAGGAA
rnacentral:rRNA from 1 species